rnacentral:pre_miRNA from 1 species
ACUUAUGGAUGAGCAAAAAAAGUGAUUGCUUGAGAUGGCAUUCACUCCUGGUGAAGAGGCUGUGAA